GGAUGAAGGCCCUUGGGUCGUAAACCACUGUGAUAGGGGAAAAAACUUUGAUGGUACCCUAUUAGAAAGCACCUGCUAACUACGUGCCAGAAGCCUCGGUAAUACGUAGGGUGCUAGCGUUAUCCGGAUUUAUUGGGCGUAAAGAGUAUCGUAGGCGGUUUAUUAAGUAACGGGUUAAAGCCUGGGGCUCAACUCCAGAGAUGCUCGUUAAACUGAUAGACUUGUGGAUGUUCGGGGUUGCUAGAAUUCUUGGUGGAGGGGUGAAAUCCGUUGAUAUCAAGAAGAAUACCAAAAGCGAAGGCAGGCAACUAGAACACUCCAGACGCUGAUGAACGAAAGCUAGGGUAGCGAAAGGGAUUAGAGACCCCUGUAGUCCUAGCCGUAAACGAUGAACACUAGCUAUUUCCCCUUUGGGGGAGUGGCGAAAGCUAACGCGUUAAGUGUUCCGCCUGGGGAGUACGGCCGCAAGGCUAAAACUCAAAGGAAUUGACGGGGAAACGCACAAUCAGCGUGCCAUGUGGUUUAAUUGGAUACGAAACCUUGAACCUUACCUAGAUUUGACAUGUAACUGCAAGCCUUUAGAAACAAAGGAAUCCUUCGAGGGUGUUACACAGCUGCUGCAUGGUUGUCGUCAGUUCGUGUCGUGAGGCGUCGGCUUAAGUGCCGUAACGAACGCAACCCCUGUGCUAUGUUAAAUAUCCAUAGCAGACUGCCUUGGAUUUUUCCACGGAGGAAGGAGGGGAUGACGUCAAAUCAGCAUGGCGCUUAUAUCUAGGGCUACACACAUGGCGUAAUGGAUGGGACAACGGGAUGCCAAGGCGCGAGCCGGAGCUAAUCCUUAUAAACCCAUCCUCAGUUCGGAUUGCAGGCUGCAAUUCGCCUGCAUGAAGGGGAGUUGAUAGUAAUCGCGGAUCAGCAACACCGCGGUGAAUACGUUCUCGUUUCUUGUACACACUGCCCGUCAAGUCAACAAAGUUAGUAGUGCCCGAAGUAGGUACCCGCAACCGCAAGGAUCGGGCCUCCUAAGGUAAGACUAGCGAUGGGGGCUAAGUCGUAACAAGGUAUCCGUACUGGAAGGUGCGGAUG
rnacentral:rRNA from 1 species